GCCCAGGCUUUGAUUACUUGUAGAGAUCGCUAUAAAAGCCUUCUACCCACUCAGCAACUUCCUUGUACUGUACUGGUAGCAGCUACCUAUAUCUUGAAGGAAGGGCACAAAACCAGAAGGGAAGCUGGAAUUUGCAUGUGGGGUUUCAUGGCCAAAAUUUACUUUAUAAUACCUGGUACAUAAGAGCUUUUCAGUUUAGUGAGAAAUGUUCAAGAAGUGGUUGAUUCGCACUCUUUCCAUAAUUAGGAUGGACGGUGAUGUCUAUAAGGGUGCAGCAAAAUAUUUUGCCAUCUCGUGGAUUGAGAACAAUAAUUUUACAGUUCUUCUUCCUCACCUGUGGGGAGAAAACAAACAAGGAUUUGUAUCCCUGAUGCCAUGCUCAUCACCUGGGAAAAUAACAUACGUCAGCUUGAGGUCCAUCUAUCCAUGCUACAGUUCCUCCAGGAAGAUAGAGUGGCUCUGGAUACAGCAAAGCAAUAGAGGGAAGGUACCUCUAGGAAGGAGGGAGACACAACAAGCAGGAGGCAAGCACUUGAAACAGUGUAACACAGAGAAGCAGGUCUACCAGGAUUAAGCAUGCUGUAUCGUAGGACCCAGGUAAGCACUGGCUUAAAUCUUGUUGCUUAGCGUAGUAGAACACUACAGCAGGCCCAUUGAAUCAGGAGGCAAUCUGGUCAGCCAACACCUCUCUAAGUUUCAUUGAUUCCAUGGCUUAAGACUGUAUGACUUACUAUGCUAAGCAACAGGAUUUCAGCCAAUGUCAGGCUCUCUCCUUCACAUCGUGGAACACUGGAGAAAAGACUACAUCAGAAGGAAAAACUACCAGAGUUUGGAAGGCCAUCUGCAUGGAAUUGUUAGCUGUGGCUUGCUUGCACUGGCAGGGGGUGGAUUAGAUGUUCCCUUCCCACUCUAUAAUUUUAUGAUUCUGUAGCUGAAAUCCUCUUGCGUAGUUAAGCAAAUGACAUAACUUUUUGACGCAAAUUGCCAUAAGGUAAGAAAUGGCCAUAGACAUUACAUAUUGCAAGCCAACUCAGUAAGCAACAAAUAAUGUCUACAAAGAUUUCUUAACUCAAGACAUUUCAUUUCCAGAAGUUACACUUAUGUGAAUAAUUGUGGAACAGGAUUUCAGCUUAUGACCUGCUUUUGUCGAAAAGCGGGGAGGAGAGAUUAAUGAGAGCAACUGACCUUCAACUUCUGAUAGGAGCAAAUCACGAUUUCAGCCCUGCUUCCCCCUCUCCUUCUCUACUCUGGCCACAAGGUGGAGAUGGAAGCAUUUGCUUCUCUUUGAAAUAUCCCUUUAAAAAGUUAAAUCCAGAACUGUAUAAACUGUGAUUAGUCUACACUUUACUAAAAUGUGCCCAGCUACAAACCAUGGUUUAUACAGAUCA
rnacentral:lncRNA from 1 species